rnacentral:rRNA from 1 species
UACGGGGGGGGCAAGCGUUGUUCGGAAUUACUGGGCGUAAAGGGCUCGUAGGUGGCCAACUAAGUCAGACGUGAAAAUCCCUCGGCUUAACCGGGGAACUGCGUCUGAUACUGGAUGGCUUGAGUUUGGGAGAGGGACGCGGAAUUCCAGGUGUAGCGGUGAAAUGCGUAGAUAUCUGGAGGAACACCGGUGGCGAAGGCGGCGUCCUGGACCAACACUGACACUGAGGAGCGAAAGCCAGGGGAGCAAACGGG